GCAACAAUCUGCUCUCUGGAAAUUGCUGCAAUGCUUGUCAAAAGUCACUGUUUUAUCCUAUAAUUUUCUACAAGGAGCUGGCAAGAAGAACACAGUGGAGGCCAAGCCAGCAGCAGUCCUCCUGAACUUCAGGCUGGAUUCAUUUAGUGGAUUGGAACUCCUAGGGUUGAAUAUAGUUAAGUGACCUCUACAAAAACUUCCUCUUUGAAGUGUUCUCUGAAGAGAUCUUCAAGGCAUCUGAGUGCCUCAGAUUGUGAUUUUGUAAGGUUUUGAUGCUAGAAAAUUGUUUAACAAACAGCUCCAAAAUAUUGAGAUUUUGAUUAAUAACAUACAGUGUCAUGGUAUUUAAAUAAUAAAAAGUUUGAAAUCUAACAUGUGGCAGAAGACUAUGUGUUCCACAUGGUUAAGAGAAUAGGAAUGGGGGCAUACCAAUAUCUGAGCAGGAGGGAAAUAGUUAUACAGAGCCAAUUAAACUGUUGUUUAGGAAUAUAUUAUACUGUUGUCUCUACUUGUGCCAGAACUUUUCCUCUGAAUUCAUGGUUGAAGAGGAUGCUACUUCAGCAGAAUAGGGAGUUUGGGUUACUGUUGCUUUUUUUUUAUGUGUACAUACUGUAUGACUCUGCAGAACCCUGGAUUUGGUUAACGUUGACUUGUCAGCAGACAGCAGUUUGGGAAUAUUAGCCUAAUUUCUUAAAAUAGUAUUAUGUGAAUAAUUUAGGAAAUCUAGAUUAGUAUAACAGUCUUGAAGAGCAAUGCUCACACUGCAAUCAGUUCUAAGGCCUCAGUACAUUUCACUGUAGUUAAAUUCUAAAGUGUAGAGUUUCAUGCUCUUCUCAGUGUUGAAACUUUUCUCAUAAAAGAGUACUCUGCCAAAACAAGUUUUACGCUGUCUAAGGAAGCAAAUACUACUGUAUCUGGAGUCUUUGCAAUGACAGGACUUUAACUAAUGUUGAGAUAUGCUCUACUGGCCUACACUGAGGGGUUGAUUUAAAAAUCCCACCUCAUUUAUACCCUCAUUACCACUAGAUUAGGAUCGCAUCUGAUCCCAUAGUAAUUACAUAUUAGCUGUGUAUAUUAUCUGAUGUUUGCAUAUGAGUUUUUAUUUUAAUAAGUGAAAAGUAGAAAACCCAACUCUGGCAUCUAUACCCCAUUUGCAUAUAUACUUUUUAAAUUCUAAA